ensembl:lncRNA
AAUGCAUACAUAUUACAAAAAUAUGGGCUAUAACAGUUGUAUUGAUGUAUAGCAACUUGAAAUGCUCCCACAAAUGUCACUACAACAUGUAAAAAAAUAAUAUAAGCUCUGGUGGACUUGGUUCUAUGGUAGGUCUUAAAGGGUUAACCGCGACUAACUGAUUAUCAGCACCUAGCUGUUAAUUACCUUUUUAACACCUAUGGAAGGAGUAAAAGUCCACUUGUUCAGAGAACAGCAUAGUCUUGUGAAAACUUUAUUCUUCAUGGCUGUUUAUUGUGUUUCUGUGCUUUACAGUUUUUUGUUUUUUUUUGUUUUGGCUCUCUUACAUUUCUCUCUGUCAUCUUUUUAUUUAUUUAUUUAGCAUUUUGUUUUGACUCUUUGUAGUAAUGAUGUACCUCGGCUGUCACUUUGAGUCUCCUGGUUGGUACACUGAGUCCAUUGUAUUGAUCUUCUUUGCUGUCAUUUUGAGUCUUUUUCAGUUAUUUUGCAUGUCUUUGUUAUUUUGAGUCUCUAUGCAGUCUUGUUUUAAGUCUGUUUAACCCUUGAUGGGUCUUCAUUUUAUUGUGUACACUAAAUUUUGGUCUUUGUUGUUGUUUUCAGACCCUUUUAUGUUGUCAUAAAGCUUUGAGAGAUAGAUGCGGUCACGACUUUGAGAUCAUAGUGUUCAUUCGCUUAUUUGUCCUCUUUAAAGAAGCUUAAUGUGUUCAUGUAUGAGUCCAGUCAAAGCUAUUUUUGAGAUUUCUGUUGUUAGAUUUUCAUAAGAUGAGAAUCAUCAGUAAAGCAGUUUGUCAAACACAUGAAGAUGAUGAUUUGUUCGAUAUGUUGAUGUCAGACAGUUUUGACUGGCAGAAAUAUGACACUGACUGUCAGAAAUCAGAUACUGGAGAAUGAAAGUGAAGCCAGAAAAUGUGUGACCACUGUCAUUUUCAUUCUCAUAUUUUUUUUCAGCUUUUAUCUCAGGAGGGAAAAAACAGACUGCAGCUGGAAGAAAGACAGUUCACUGUUGUGCAUGAACACUGAGGAAAUUAAUUGGUGAUUCUGUUUAU